rnacentral:rRNA from 1 species
ACGGGUGAGUAAUACGUGGGCAACCUGCCCUUGAGACUGGGAUAACUUCGGGAAACCGGAGCUAAUACCGGAUAAUAUAAGGAACCUCCUGGUUCCUUAUUGAAAGAUGGUUUCGGCUAUCACUUAAGGAUGGGCCCGCGGCGCAUUAGCUAGUUGGUGAGGUAACGGCUCACCAAGGCGACGAUGCGUAGCCGACCUGAGAGGGUGAUCGGCCACACUGGGACUGAGACACGGCCCAGACUCCUACGGGAGGCAGCAGUAGGGAAUCUUCCACAAUGGACGAAAGUCUGAUGGAGCAACGCCGCGUGAGUGAUGAAGGCCUUCGGAUCGUAAAGCUCUGUUGUUAGGGAAGAACAAGUGCGAGAGUAACUGCUCGCACCUUGACGGUACCUAACCAGAAAGCCACGGCUAACUACGUGCCAGCAGCCGCGGUAAUACGUAGGUGGCAAGCGUUAUCCGGAAUUAUUGGGCGUAAAGCGCGCGCAGGUGGUUUCUUAAGUCUGAUGUGAAAGCCCACGGCUCAACCGUGGAGGGUCAUUGGAAACUGGGGAACUUGAGUGCAGAAGAGGAAAGUGGAAUUCCAA